AAACAAUUUACAAUACAUUUUGGGUAACUAGUAUGGGAGCUAUUAGUUUUGGCUAUAGAUGAAAAAAUCGUUUCAAAAAGUUAAUCAGGGACAAAAAUCAAAUGAGUAAAUCAUCAUAAUGCACUGAAAAAUUUAAUUUCUGACACUAAGUCAGAAUCAAUACUAGUCCUGACAUUGAUUUGCAUGAAAGCUAAUUAAUAGCUGUUUAUACUAUGUUAUUGACCACACCUUUUAUACUCCCUGAUAAUUAUCUCCACUGACAAGUCUUUGAUGAUAACCACUCGUUAUCUCUUUAUUAAAAUUGUCCCUUUCUGUUAUGAAUAAGGUGCCCAGAUAAUUUAUCAUCCGAAUAUGGACAUCCUUUAGAAGCAAAGUGGGUUCUAUUAAAAAUCAUCCCGGGUAACAGGUGUGAACUGUGUCAGCGGUACUACACAGCUCUUCGUGAUGCAUCUCUGUCAUGGCUAAGGAAACACUCCAGCUCAUCAUGAUGAUAACUUGUUAGAUUUACAUAGAGCAGAACCCCAAGAGGACAUAUGGCAGGUAUACAUUGAUUUCGACUUUCGCACUGAAUGGUGGGAAUACAUAAUUUGGGCAUCCUGCUGGGACGACUUGUGACUGAGAAGUUAAGAACAUGGGCAAAUAAUGCUACAAUGAAAAUUGUUGGAUCUCUCAAAAGAAGCAUAUGCCUUGAAUAUCUGCCAGUCCCAGAAUGAUACCUGCAGAGAACACCAGGAGCCAGUCCACAGCCCAGAGCUCAACUCGACUGACCCCACAGCCUGAAGCAGAGCUGCUCUAGCUUCCCCAUAGAUCCAUGGGCAAGAAGAACAAAGAUUCCUGUAAUAUUUAUUACCUAUUACAUAUAAUAUGUAAUCUUGUUGCUGUUCCUGUGAGCCACUGAAUUUCAGCCAGAGCUCUCUAAUAGACAAAGAUAUUCUGCAUAAACCAAAAACUUUAUUUUUGGUGACUUUGGCUUAUAUUAAUCUAUAAGUCAUGAAAAAAUCAUGAAGCAUCCAACUGAAAUUUGAUGGUGGUAAAAGUCACUAAGAUUUUGUACAUGAAUAAUGCAGAAUGGAGUUGUUAUUGGAGAAAUUCCUGAGUAUUUUUCUUGAUGAAGGAUUAGCCCUAUUGGGUUAGUCUUCUCAGGCUGCUGUAUGAAAGUAUCAUUGACUGGGUGGAUUAAACAACAGGCAUUUAUUUAUCAUAGUUCUGGGGGCUUGGAGGUCCAAGAUCAAGGUGCCAUCAGAUCUGGUUCCUGGUGAUAGCUCUUUUCCUGGCUUGAAGACCAAUGCCUUUUCUUUGUGUCCUUGCAUGAGAGAGAGAGAACAAGAUUGGGUCUUUUUUUUUUUUUUUCCCUUCUUAUAAAGACACAAAUCCUAUCAUAUAUUCCCACCUUCAUGAUCUCAUCUAAACCUGAUUACCUUUCAAAGACCCUACCUCCAAAUGCCAUCAUAUUGGGAGUUAGGACUUCAAGAAGUGAAUUCUGGGGGAACACAAAUAAUCAGUCAAUAACACCUAUAUCUUGAUUAGAUGGUUCCAGGAAGAAUCCACUGUUGCUAACAAAUUCUGCUACUAAUGUGACAAGAUUUGGAAUUCCUUUAAAGAAGCACAAUAAUGCCUUUUAUUUCAUAAUUAGUAAUAAAGUUUAUGAGUUCCCUAGUAGUACA
rnacentral:lncRNA from 1 species